ACUCCUACGGGAGGCAGCAGUGGGGAAUAUUGCACAAUGGGCGAAAGCCUGAUGCAGCGACGCCGCGUGAGGGAUGACGGCCUUCGGGUUGUAAACCUCUUUCACCAGGGACGAAGCUAACGUGACGGUACCUGGAGAAGAAGCACCGGCUAACUACGUGCCAGCAGCCGCGGUAAUACGUAGGGUGCGAGCGUUGUCCGGAAUUAUUGGGCGUAAAGAGCUUGUAGGCGGUCUGUCGCGUCUGCUGUGAAAGACCGGGGCUUAACUCCGGUUCUGCAGUGGGUACGGGCAGACUAGAGUGUGGUAGGGGAGACUGGAAUUCCUGGUGUAGCGGUGAAAUGCGCAGAUAUCGAGGAGGAACACCGAUGGCGAAGGCAGGUCUCUGGGCCAUUACUGACGCUGAGAAGCGAAAGCAUGGGGAGCGAACAGGAUUAGAUA
rnacentral:rRNA from 1 species